CAAGGCGCUGAACCCCACCCCGGCAUUCAGAAAGCUGAUGCUCCAGCCCAGGUAGGAGCCUUGGCCACCAACCUUUCAGUAGAUACAGCAGAUUGGGUGCAUAGGAAGAGUGGCUACUGUGGCACCUGCCAAAGGAAAUGUCUGGGGCCAACCACUGGAGUUCCCAACUGGUAAAGCCACCUUGGCUGUGUGGAGGAAUGCAUUUGAAUGCAUUUGAACCCACGACCCUAUAUGCCAGACCGGGAACCCCUGCCAAAGCACCCAAUUUUGUAAAGGUGUGGAGUCUCCAGAGACAGCUAUUGCCCUGAUGCUCACUGUGGAUCAACACGCUGCCCUGCGGAGGAUACCAAGUCCCAUCAGCCAGAUCUGUUGAAACCCGCUAUACCUGGAAUGGAACACGCACCACAGAAAGAGGGGAGAAGACAGGGAUUCUGAACACAUCCUGCCCCUAGUCCCAUUUCCUCACGCCUGACAGUGCUGCCUCCCCUGUGUGUCCCCCGGCCAACAGAUUGCUGCUGUGGUAACUGCCUCCAAUACAGACAGCCACCAAGCAAGCCAUCUUCAUGCUAACCACCCAGGGCAUUCUGCGGAAGAACGGGAAGUGUAAGAUGGAGGUUAUGAAUGCACGUUCCUCCUAAGCACUGGGAAUAAGGGGGUACUUCAAGGGGAACCCAAGAGUGUGCCGUCCUUAAUCGACUGCCUUGUGCUUGCUACCUUCCUUCCGGCUGUCCUUACUCCAGCGCGGAUCCCCAGGUAAAUCUUUGUGGGGGAAGAUUUGUGGGGGAAUCCGAGAGCCGAGACCUCCAUCCACACAACGCACUGUCAGUCUCCCGCCGGUAGCGCGAACAAGUCCUCACGUCACACAAGAUUUCGUGGCUCACGGUGGUCCCUGUUUUUGGUUACUUGAACUAACCGCUGCAUAACCCGUGAAAGUUCCUUUUGGGAUGACUUCCUAGAACUGGAACUGCGGUUUCAAACUUCUCCCCUAAACGUCCCUGCGCGUCUCCGGAGAGGCUGAUACCGCAAGGGAUUGUGGGGAGCGUAGUUCUGGCUUGGAGCUAGCAAGAGCUGGGGUAUCACUGGCGGAAAUUGCUGGGCGUGAGAAAGGAGCCGCGCAUCUUUCCGCAAACGUCGCUCACGGGCGCGCCUGCGCGAUACGCGAAGGCGCGGCUUCACUUUCCCUCGCGAUUGGCCAGCUGUCUACCGG